GACGAACGCUGGCGGCGUGCUUAACACAUGCAAGUCGAACGGAAAGGCCCUGCUUUUGUGGGGUGCUCGAGUGGCGAACGGGUGAGUAACACGUGAGUAACCUGCCCUUGACUUUGGGAUAACUUCAGGAAACUGGGGCUAAUACCGGAUAGGAGCUCCUGCUGCAUGGUGGGGGUUGGAAAGUUUCGGCGGUUGGGGAUGGACUCGCGGCUUAUCAGCUUGUUGGUGGGGUAGUGGCUUACCAAGGCUGUGACGGGUAGCCGGCCUGAGAGGGUGACCGGCCACAUUGGGACUGAGAUACGGCCCAGACUCCUACGGGACGCAGCAGGGGGGAAUAUUGCACAAUGAGCGGAAGCCUGAUGCAGCAACGCCGCGUGCGGGAUGACGGCCUUCGGGUUGUAAACCGCUUUCGCCUGUGACGAAGCGUGAGUGACGGUAAUGGGUAAAGAAGCACCGGCUAACUACGUG
rnacentral:rRNA from 1 species